CAAGCGUACUCGGAUCACUGGCGUAAGAGCAGUAGGCGGUGAUAAGUUGAAGUGAAUCCUAUAGUUAACUAUAGACUGCUUCCAAACUGUUCACCUAGAGUAUGGAGAGGUAGAUGAAAUUCUGGUGUAGGGGUAAAAUCCGUAGAGAUCAGAAGGAUACCGAUGCGAAGGCGAUCUACUGAACAUUACUGACGCUCAGAUGCGAAAGCGUGGGAGCAAACAGGAUUAGAUACCCUGGUAGUCCACGCCCUAAACGAUGUACACUAGUUGUUGCUAUACUAGAUAUGGCAGUAAUGCAGUUAACACUUUAAGUGUACCGCCUGGGGAGUACGGUCGCAAGAUUAAAACUCAAAGGAAUAGACGGGGACCCGCACAAGCGGUGGAGCAUGUGGUUUAAUUCGACGAUACGCGAAAAACCUUACCUGGCCUUGACAUAGUAGGAAUCUUUAAGAGAUUAGAGAGUGCUAGCUUGCUAGAACCUACAUACAGGUGCUGCACGGCUGUCGUCAGC
rnacentral:rRNA from 1 species